rnacentral:lncRNA from 1 species
GUACUUGCUACUGAGUGUCAAGGGCUCCUCAGCAAUGACACUUGAAGGUAGAUGUGACUGUUUUCCAAAGAACAGCACCUAGAGUCAUUGACUUAAAACUAAAGCUAUCUUCUCACAAGACUUUCAGAAUCAAGCGAUUCCUGGCAAAGAAACAAAAGCAAAAUCGUCCUAUUCCUCAAUGGAUUCGGAUGAAAACUGGUAACAAAAUCAGGUACAACUCUAAGAGAAGACACUGGAGGAGAACGAAGCUGGGUCUAUAAGGAGUCACACUACGGCCAGACUGAGGAUUUCUACUGAAUCACCGUCAUCGAUCAGUCCGACCAGAUGGAUUUCAACAUUUUUAACCUAGAGAUUUACUUGUGUCUGAACUAAUUUGUCCAGUAAUAAAAUUUAGAACCUUUC